GUUGGUUGAUGGUGCUUGCACCUGAUUGAUUUUGGUCGCCAACGAGUGGCGGACGGGUGAGUAACACGUAGGUAACCUGCCCAGAAGCGGGGGACAACAUUUGGAAACAGAUGCUAAUACCGCAUAACAACGUUGUUCGCAUGAACAACGCUUAAAAGAUGGCUUCUCGCUAUCACUUCUGGAUGGACCUGCGGUGCAUUAGCUUGUUGGUGGGGUAAUGGCCUACCAAGGCGAUGAUGCAUAGCCGAGUUGAGAGACUGAUCGGCCACAAUGGGACUGAGACACGGCCCAUACUCCUACGGGAGGCAGCAGUAGGGAAUCUUCCACAAUGGGCGCAAGCCUGAUGGAGCAACACCGCGUGAGUGAAGAAGGGUUUCGGCUCGUAAAGCUCUGUUGUUAAAGAAGAACACGUAUGAGAGUAACUGUUCAUACGUUGACGGUAUUUAACCAGAAAGUCACGGCUAACUACGUGCCAGCAGCCGCGGUAAUACGUAGGUGGCAAGCGUUAUCCGGAUUUAUUGGGCGUAAAGAGAGUGCAGGCGGUUUUCUAAGUCUGAUGUGAAAGCCUUCGGCUUAACCGGAGAAGUGCAUCGGAAACUGGAUAACUUGAGUGCAGAAGAGGGUAGUGGAACUCCAUGUGUAGCGGUGGAAUGCGUAGAUAUAUGGAAGAACACCAGUGGCGAAGGCGGCUACCUGGUCUGCAACUGACGCUGAGACUCGAAAGCAUGGGUAGCGAACAGGAUUAGAUACCCUGGUAGUCCAUGCCGUAAACGAUGAGUGCUAGGUGUUGGAGGGUUUCCGCCCUUCAGUGCCGGAGCUAACGCAUUAAGCACUCCGCCUGGGGAGUACGACCGCAAGGUUGAAACUCAAGGAAUUGACGGGGCCCGCACAAGCGGUGGGAGCAUGUGGUUUAAUUCGAAGCUACGCGAAGAAC
rnacentral:rRNA from 2 species